CCCUUAGAUGUUCUGGGCCGCACGCGUGCUACACUGAGUGGAUCAGCGGGUCAGGUUGCGCGAAAGUGUUUUCUAAUCUUUAAAUCCGCUCGUGAUGGGGAUUGACGGUUGCAAUUUUCCGUCAUGAACGAGGAAUACCUUGUAAGCGCGGGUCAUCAUCCCGCGCUGAAUACGUCCCUGCCCUUUGUACACACCGCCCGUCGCUCCUACCGAUUGAGUGGUCCGGUGAGGCUUUGGGAUCUGAGCGGAAAGAGCGUUUCGCUGUUUCUGCCCGGAAAACUCAGUCGAACCUUAUCAUUUAGAGGAAGGAGAAGUCGUAACA
rnacentral:rRNA from 1 species